GGAGUUGAUGAGCGCCCGGUACUGAUGGCGGAUCUGGCGGCACAGGCCUUGGUCGGCCUCCGCCUCCAAGCUGGCCGGGUCCAUCAUCUCGUCCCCGGAAUCCGACGGCUCUGUGUCCUCCAGGCUCGGGCGCUCUGGGGCCUCUCUGCGCUCCCGCGCAGAGCCGCGGCGGGACCUGGGCGACAAAGGGGACCGCGAGCGGGAGCGGGAGCGGGUGCGAUCCCGAUGCGGGUCGCGGCCCCGGCCCCGGCCCUCUGGCCCGCGGCCGCUGCUGUCCCCAGACAUAGCGCCAAUUCACCGUGCAACUUCGGAACGGCGGAAGUUCGCGCCAGAAACUGAAACCCCUGCUCUGCGCCAGCGCCUGCUCCCGGCGGAACGCGGCUCCCGGGCCCGCGCGAGCGCACAGCGACGCCUGUGGCUGGAGGCCGGCGACGGGCCCGGCCGGGUCUCCAAGGCGCCUGGGGGGACCGCUGGGUGCACAAGAGGGGCCUGGCGGGGAUCCUUUGUUCCCUUGACAAGAGGUGUAAUGAGCUCUUACUCCACACUGCAGGGCUGUGAGAAUCUUGGUUUUCUGCCCCUACUUUCCCACCCUCCUGGACCUGCAUCUUCCCUAGGUCCCUUUGCCUGCCCAGGACACAGCCGCAGCCUGGCACCCACAUGGGCACGCAGUCCAUGUGUGUUGAACGAGCUUCCUGCUGUGGAGCAGGAUGAGCGCGGGAUGUGGAGUCCAGACGCGGUCUGCUGCUCACCUGCGACCUCAGUUUCCCUGUGCCAUCAUGGCUGGGGUCGGGGGGGUGGGGAACAGGGGUGGGUGGAUGAAUCAAAUAUUUAUGUGCAGCUGGCAAUACCAUUUUUUGUGAGGAUAGCAGAACAAAUUAACAGGUAAACAUCCUUCUAAAUAUCUACAACAGAAUGUCACCAGAGCACCAGGGUUUUGUUCUAGGACCCGCUGCCCCCUCACAGAAAUCACUGAGAAAACCAUUAUUACCAAGGAAGAAGGCUUUAGUAGGGUGCUGCACUCAGGGAGUUGGAAGCUCAGUCUCAAAUCCAUUGCCCUGACCAACUAAAAUUAAGGGUUUAUACAGUUGCAGGGAAGCAAUGUAACAAUGUAUGGGAAAAGAGGAACUCGGGAGGGGGAAGGAAGCUAUGGGGAUGCAUGAGGGGCUUGGCAUCUCAUUGUCUGGAAUGCGGUGAUAUGGCGAGUUUCAGUUUUUUGAUACUUUUUGAGAGGCUCUGGAGGUCCUUUCCUGAGGAAGGAACUCAGAUAAAACAAAGACCUUGCUCUGCCGAGGCUGGAGUACAGUGGCACUAUCUUGGCUCACUGCAACCCCAUCUCCUGACCUCAAGUGAUCCGCCCACCUCGGCCUCCCUAAGUACUGGGAUUACAAGCAUGGGCCACCAGGCACAGCCUGAUUCUGAUUCUCAAACUAGAAGAUUCUAAGAAUACCUCCUGAAGGGCCCAAGAAAGAUGGAAUUAUGUUAAGUAUACUUUGAAAGAUAAAUGUAUGAAUUUCACUCCGUGCAUUUUGGAUUGUAUUCGAGUAUUGUUUCCCAAAAGUUGUCUUUGGUGCUAAGAACACAUUUUCUCAAAAGACCAAUAUUAUAAGUUGGGUUAUUACACAACCUACAAAUAUUCCAUUUUGUGCAUCAUGUCUACUAAACUUAAGUUAGGCACUGUUCAUUGCUGUCCAACAGCUACUACCUCACCCAUCCCUGCUUAUCUGUAUUUCCUGAAGGGGACGUGUGUGCCUACUUCCUUAGAUGAAACGUGAUCACUCUAACCAGGUCACGGUAAUGUCAUUCCCCUUCCCCAGUGACUGGUCAAGGGUCAUGUGAUGCAACCUGGGUCCGUGAGAUGUGAAAGGGUUUCCCAACUGGAUGGAAUACAAACCUUCCUGAAAAGAAAACCCUUGACCCCCUACCCCCUUUGAGAUGGCUGGCAUAAGAAAUGGGGAACCUGCCAAUUAGCGGGCAUAAUGGUGCGUGUCUGUAAUCCCAGCUAAUCGGGAGGCUGAGGCAAGAGAACUGCUUGAAGCUGGGAGGUGGAGGUUGCAGUGAGCAGAGAUCGCGCCAUUGCACUCCAGCCUGGGUGACAAGAAUGAAACAACGUCUGAAAGAAAAAAUGUGGAGCCUGCCAUAUUGGCAGCAUCUGGUACUCACGAGGUGACAAGCAUGAGGAAAGACUAGAGUGCUGGAGACACUGGAGAGCAAAGAUGGACAUGGCUGAAUUGCUGAAUCAACCACAUGCCUCCAGACUCCCUGUAAAGUAAGCCAUAAAUCAUGGUUUAAACCAGGUCAUUGUUUCAUAGUUGUUGCUUGUAGCUCAGUGUUCUGUAAUGGAAUACUUAGCGUUCUUCCAGGUGAAAGUGUGUCCAGAAUUGGUGGGUUCUUGGUCUCACUGACUUCAGGAAUGAAGCCGCGGACCCUCGCAGUGAGUGUUACAGUUCUUAAAGGUGAUGUGUCCGGAGUUUUUUCCUUAUGAUGUUCAGAUGUGUUCGCAGUUUCUUCUUUCUGGUGGGUUCGUGGUCUCACUCGCUCAGGAGUGAAGCUGCAGACCUUCACGGUGAGUGUUACAGCUCUUAAUGCGGCGUGUCUGGAGUUGUUCGUUCCUCCCGGUGGGUUUGUGGUAUUGCUGGCCUCAGAAAUGAAGCUGCAGACCUUCACAGUGAGUGUUACAACUCAUAAAAGCAGUGCAGACCCAAAGCGUGAACAGCAGCAAGAUUUAUUGCAAAGAGCGAAAAAAUAAAGCUUCCACAGUGUGCAAAGUGAGCUGAGUGGGUUACUACUACUGGCUAGGGCAGCCUGCUUUUAUUCUCUUAUCUGGCCCCACCCACAUCCUGCUGAUUGGUCAAUUUUACAGAGAGCCGAUGGGUCUGUUUUACAGAGAGCUGAUUGGUCCAUUUUGACAGGGUGCUGAUUGGUGCGUUUACAAUCCCUGAGCUAGACACAAAAGUUCUCCACCUGUCCACUAGAUUAGCUAGAUACAGAGUGCUGAUUGGUGUAUUUACAAACCCUGAGCUAGACACAGAGUGCUGAUUGGUGCAUUUACAAACCUUGAGCUAGAUACAGAGUGCCGAUUGGUGUAUUUACAAUCCCUUAGCUAGACAUAAACGUUCGCCAAGUCCCCACCAAAUCAGCUAGACACAGAGCGCAGAUUGGUGCAUUUACAAACCUUGAGCUAGACACAGAGUGCUGAUUGGUGCAUUUACAAAGCUUGAGCUAGAUACAGAGUGCUGAUUGGUGUAUUCACAAUCUCUUAGCUAGACAUAAAGGUUCUCCAAGUCCCCGCUAGACUCAGGAGCCCAGCUGGCUUCACCCAGUGGAUCCCGCACCAGGGUGGCUGGUGGAGCUGCCUGCCAGUCCCUCGCCCUGCACCCCACUUCUCAGCCUUUGGGCAGUUGAUGGGAUCGGGCACCCUGGAGCAGGGGGCGGCGCUCAUCGGGGAGGCUCGGGCCACGCUGGAGCCCACGGUGGCAGGGGGAGGCUCAGGCAUGGCGGGUUGCAGGUCCUGAGUCCUGCCCUGCGGGGAGGCAGCUAAGGCCCGCCGAGAAAUGGAGCACAGCGCUGGUGGGCUGGCACUGUUGGGGGACCCCGCGAACCCACCACAGCUGCGGGCCCAGGUGCUAAGCCCCUCACUGCCCAGGGCAGCCGGCCACUCCCGAGUGCGGGCCUGCCAAGCCCACGCCCACAGGGAACUCUAGCUGGCCCGCAAGCACAGCGUGCAGCCCCGGUUCCCCCCGUGCCUCUCCCUCCACACCUCCCCGCAGGCUGAGAGAGCCGGCUCUGGCCUCGGUCCCAGGAAGUGGCUCCCACAGCGCAGCGGCGGGCUGAAGGGCUCCUUAAGCCGGCCAGAGUGGGCGCUGAGGCCGAGGAGGUGCCAAGAGCGAGCGAGGGCUGCCAGCACGCUGUCACCUCUCAAAAGUUCAUUCCAAGCUCCACACAAAAAUACCUGAAAUAGGCCAGGUGCAGUGGCUCACGCCUGUAAUCCCUGCACUGUGGGAGGCCAAGGUGGGUGGAUCACCCAAGGUCAGGAGUUCAAGACCAGCCUGGCCAACAUGAUGAAACCCCCGUCUGUACUAAAAAUACGAAAAAUUAGCCAGGCGUGGUGGUGGGCGCCUGUAAUCCCAGCUACUCAGGAGGCUAAGGCAGGAGAAUCACUUGAACCUGGGAGGCGAAGUUUGCAGUGAGCCGAGAUCAUGCCACUGCACUCCAGCCUGGGUGACAGGAGCAAAACUCCAUCUCAAAAAACAAACAAUGACAACAACAACAAAAAAACCCUGAAAUAACUCAUUCAAUUCAAAAGUAUUUGAGGGAGGGCCGGGCGCGGUGACUCAUGCCUGUAAUCCCAGCACUUUGGGAGGCCGAGGAGGGUGGAUCAUGAGGUCAAGAGAUCGAGACCAUCCUGGCCAACAUGGUGAAACCCCAUCUCUACUAAAAAUACAAAAAAUUAGCUGGGCAUGGUGACGUGCGCCUGUAGUCUCAGCUACUCAGGAGGCUGAGGCAGGAGAAUUGCUUGAACCGGGGAGGCGGAGGUUGCAGUGAGCCAAGAUGGUGCACCACUGCACUCCAGCCUGGUGACAGAGUGAGACUCCAUCUCUAAAUAAAUAAAUAAAUAAAAAUAUUUGAGGUGUACUCAUAGGCUAGACACCCUACAAAGCACAGCAGGGCACACAGAUAAUUCAGGUACUUGCCUUUGCCUUCCAGGGUAUCACCAGAAGACAGGCAUUAAACUGAUUCUAAAAUUCAUGUGGGGAGCCAGGUGUGGUGGCUCAUACCUGUAAUCCCUGCACUUUGGGAGGCCAAGGCAGGUGGAUCACUAGAGGCCAGGAGUUUGACACUAACUUGGACAACAAAGCAAGACCCUGUCUCUACAAAGUAUAUAUAAAUCAACAUUAGCCAGGCAUGGUGGUGCACACCUACAGUCCCACUGACUCAGGAGGUAGAAACAGGAUGAUCGCUUGAGCCCAGGAAUUUGAUGCUGCAGUGAGCUAUGAUCAUGCCACUGCACUCCAGCAUGGAUGACAGAGCAAGACCUUGUUUAAAAAAAAAAAAAAUUAUAUGGAAAUGCAAGGGACCCAGAAUAGCCAAAACAAUCUUGAAAAAGAAGGACAAAUUUGGCAGGAUUCAGACUUCUUAAUUUCAAGACUUAAUACAAAGCUGUAUAAUCAAAACUGUGUGGUAUUGUCAUAAGGAUAGACAUAUAGAUCAAAGGAAUGGAAUUGAAAGUCCAGACAUAUCAUUUAUGGUUAACUGAUUUUCUUUUCUUUUCUUUUUUUUUCGAGGCAGAGUCUCUCUCUGCUGCCAGGCUGGAGUGCAGUGGCACAGUCUUGGCUCACUGCAACCACCGCCUCCCAGGUUCAAGUAAUUCUCUUGCCUCAGCCUCCUGAGUAGCUGGGACCUCAGGCGCGUGCCACCAUGCCCAGCUAAUUUUUGUAUUUUUAGUAGAGACAGAGUUUCACCCUGUUGGCCAGGAUGGUCUCGAUCUCUUCACCUCGUGACCCGCCC
rnacentral:lncRNA from 1 species